GAUGAACGCUGGCGGCGUGCCUAAUACAUGCAAGUCGAGCGAACAGACGAGGAGCUUGCUCCUCUGACGUUAGCGGCGGACGGGUGAGUAACACGUGGAUAACCUACCUAUAAGACUGGGAUAACUUCGGGAAACCGGAGCUAAUACCGGAUAAUAUAUUGAACCGCAUGGUUCAAUAGUGAAAGACGGUUUUGCUGUCACUUAUAGAUGGAUCCGCGCCGCAUUAGCUAGUUGGUAAGGUAACGGCUUACCAAGGCAACGAUGCGUAGCCGACCUGAGAGGGUGAUCGGCCACACUGGAACUGAGACACGGUACAGACUCCUACGGGAGGCAGCAGUAGGGAAUCUUCCGCAAUGGGCGAAAGCCUGACGGAGCAACGCCGCGUGAAUGAUGAAGGUCUUCGGAUCGUAAAACUCUGUUAUUAGGGAAGAACAAAUGUGUAAGUAACUAUGCACGUCUUGACGGUACCUAAUCAGAAAGCCACGGCUAACUACGUG
rnacentral:rRNA from 1 species